UUCAGUUCAUGUCUUAGUGGUCCCAGU
rnacentral:piRNA from 1 species